CUCCGGUAUAGCAUCUCUAGAUGCCAGGUUCGAUUCCUGGCUCCGUCGUUAAUUUUUCAAAUUCACCAAUUUUUGAAUU